AUGAACGCUGGCGGCGUGCCUAAUACAUGCAAGUCGAGCGAACAGACGAGGAGCUUGCUCCUCUGACGUUAGCGGCGGACGGGUGAGUAACACGUGGAUAGCCUACCUAUAAGACUGGGAUAACUUCGGGAAACCGGAGCUAAUACCGGAUAAUAUAUUGAACCGCAUGGUUCAAUAGUGAAAGACGGUUUUGCUGUCACUUAUAGAUGGAUCCGCGCCGCAUUAGCUAGUUGGUAAGGUAACGGCUUACCAAGGCAACGAUGCGUAGCCGACCUGAGAGGGUGAUCGGCCACACUGGAACUGCGACACGGUCCAGACUCCUACGGGAGGCAGCAGUAGGGAAUCUUCCGCAAUGGGCGAAAGCCUGACGGAGCAACGCCGCGUGAGUGAUGAAGGUCUUCGGAUCGUAAAACUCUGUUAUUAGGGAAGAACAAAUGUGUAAGUAACUAUGCACGUCUUGACGGUACCUAAUCAGAAAGCCACGGCUAACUACGUG
rnacentral:rRNA from 1 species